rnacentral:rRNA from 1 species
AGAGUUUGAUCCUGGCUCAGGAUGAACGCUGGCGGUCUGCUUAACACAUGCAAGUCGAACGGGAACCCUCGGGUUCUAGUGGCGGACGGGUGAGUAACGCGUGAGAAUCUGCCUUCAGGUCGGGGACAACAGCUGGAAACGGCUGCUAAUACCGGAUGUGCCGCAACGUGAAAGGAGAAAUCUGCCUGAAGAGGAGCUCGCGUCUGAUUAGCUAGUUGGUGGGGUAAAGGCUUACCAAGGCGGCGAUCAGUAGCUGGUCUGAGAGGACGAUCAGCCACACUGGGACUGAGACACGGCCCAGACUCCUACGGGAGGCAGCAGUGGGGAAUUUUCCGCAAUGGGCGAAAGCCUGACGGAGCAAGACCGCGUGAGGGAGGAAGGCUCUUGGGUUGUAAACCUCUUUUCUCAGGGAAGAACAAAAUGACGGUACCUGAGGAAUCAGCAUCGGCUAACUCCGUGCCAGCAGCCGCGGUAAUACGGAGGAUGCAAGCGUUAUCCGGAAUCAUUGGGCGUAAAGCGUUCGUAGGUGGCCUUUCAAGUCUGCUGUUAAAGAGCGUGGCUUAACCACGUAAAGGCGGUGGAAACUGAAAGGCUAGAGUGCGGUAGGGGUAGAGGGAAUUCCCGGUGUAGCGGUGAAAUGCGUAGAGAUCGGGAAGAACACCAGUGGCGAAAGCGCUCUACUGGGCCUGCACUGGCACUGAGGGACGAAAGCUAGGGGAGCGAAUGGGAUUAGAUACCCCAGUAGUCCUAGCCGUAAACGAUGGAUACUAGGUGUUGCACGUAUCGACCCGAGCAGUGCUGUAGCCAACGCGUUAAGUAUCCCGCCUGGGGAGUACGCACGCAAGUGUGAAACUCAAAGGAAUUGACGGGGGCCCGCACAAGCGGUGGGGUAUGUGGUUUAAUUCGAUGCAACGCGGAGAACCUUACCAUGGCUUGACAUGUCCAGAAUCUUCCUGAAAGGGAAGAGUGCCUUCUGGAGCCGGAACACAAGUGGUGCAUGGCUGUCGUCAGCUCGUGUCGUG